GGGUUGUGAGGUUAAGCGACUAAGCGUACACGGUGGAUGCCCUGGCAGUCAGAGGCGAUGAAGGACGUGCUAAUCUGCGAUAAGCGUCGGUAAGGUGAUAUGAACCGUUAUAACCGGCGAUUUCCGAAUGGGGAAACCCAGUGUGUUUCGACACACUAUCAUUAACUGAAUCCAUAGGUUAAUGAGGCGAACCGGGGGAACUGAAACAUCUAAGUACCCCGAGGAAAAGAAAUCAACCGAGAUUCCCCCAGUAGCGGCGAGCGAACGGGGAGCAGCCCAGAGCCUGAAUCAGUGUGUGUGUUAGUGGAAGCGUCUGGAAAGGCGUGCGAUACAGGGUGACAGCCCCGUACACAAAAAUGCACAUGCUGUGAGCUCGAUGAGUAGGGCGGGACACGUGGUAUCCUGUCUGAAUAUGGGGGGACCAUCCUCCAAGGCUAAAUACUCCUGACUGACCGAUAGUGAACCAGUACCGUGAGGGAAAGGCGAAAAGAACCCCGGCGAGGGGAGUGAAAAAGAACCUGAAACCGUGUACGUACAAGCAGUGGGAGCCUCUUUUAUGGGGUGACUGCGUACCUUUUGUAUAAUGGGUCAGCGACUUAUAUUCUGUAGCAAGGUUAACCGAAUAGGGGAGCCGAAGGGAAACCGAGUCUUAACUGGGCGUUAAGUUGCAGGGUAUAGACCCGAAACC
rnacentral:rRNA from 1 species